rnacentral:rRNA from 1 species
CGGCGUGGAUGAGGCAUGCAAGUCGAACGAAGUGUAGCAAUACACUUAGUGGCGGAAGGGUUAGUAAUACAUGGGUAACUUACCAUUAACUUGGGAAUAACGAUUGGAAACGAUCGCUAAUACCGAAUGUGGUGAUAACAAGGCAUCUUGAAAUCAUUAAAGUGGGGGAUCGAAAGACCUCGCGGUUAAAGAGAGGCCCAUGGGAUAUCAGCUAGUUGGUAGGGUAAAGGCCUACCAAGGCUAAGACGUCUAGGCGGAUUGAGAGAUUGACCGCCAACACUGGGACUGA